UGCGUGUGUGUUGUAUGCGUGCGUGUGUGUGUGGUGUGGUGUGCGGCCGAAUGAAGAAGAAGAAGCAAAGCUUCUUUAUACAUUAACACCUCCAACACUAUUCACUCCAAGCAGCUUGAAAUCUAAUAACUUUCGUCGGAGCUCCCUGAAUGUCCGUUUGAGCUCAAACUUGACAGUCAUGUUCGGUUUUACGUACUGAGUAAGAAUAUAUUUUAAGUUUUCAGUUUCGACCCCAUUUGGUCACCGAAAACUGUGCCGAACUGUAAUCUUAAUCAGAUAACUGUCGGAUUUUAUUUCUCACUCUACGGGUGUCAGAAAAAUAUGAAACUUCAAAUCUAGCCUCAUAAAAAUAUUUCUAACUUAUCCUCCAAUUUUCAUAAUUUUCUGAGACUGUAUUUUCUGCUAAUUUAUCUGCCUCGUUUCCAACAGAAAAUUCUAAAUCUUCUGUUUUCGCUCCGAUUUCAACACAAGUCAUUUUUGACUUAUGUUUUACUCCUCUAAAUCCAAUAAAAAUAGUAUCUCACACUAUUUUUAUUUAUUUUUUAUUUUUAUAUUUAAAAUUCGGUAUGUUACAUUACACCGCAACUUCACCGGAACCAUUUAAAUGUACACCGUAAUUUCAUAGCUUUAGAAGUCCGGUACCUUACAAC
rnacentral:lncRNA from 1 species